rnacentral:rRNA from 1 species
GACGAACGCUGGCGGCGUGCCUAAUACAUGCAAGUAGAACGCAGUUGCGAACGGGUGAGUGACGCGUAGGUAAAUGUCUGGUAGCGGGGGAUAACUAUUGGAAAAGAUAGCUAAUACCGCAUACUACCAGAUGGACGUGCGUUGUAUGAGCUAGUUGGUGAGGUAACGGCUCACCAAGGCAACGAGACAUAGCCGACCUGUGAGGGUGAUCGGCCACACUUGGCCUGGGACCCGGCCCAGACUCCUACGGGAGGCAGCAGUAGGGAAUCGUCGUCAAUGGGGGGAACCCUGACUGAGCAACGCCGCGUGAGUGAAGAAGGUUUUCGGUUCGUAAAGCUCUGUUGUUAAGGAAGCGGUACUUAACCAGAAAGGGACGGCUAACUACGUGCCAGCCGCCGCGGUAAUUC